rnacentral:rRNA from 1 species
GAGUUUGAUCGUGGCUCAGGAUGAACGCUGGCGGCGUGCUUAACACAUGCAAGUCGAACGAAGCACUACCGACGGAACUUUUCGGAGGGAAGAUGGUAAUGACUGAGUGGCGGACGGGUGAGUAACGCGUGGGCAACCUGCCCCAUAGAGGGGGACAACAGCUGGAAACGGCUGCUAAUACCGCAUAACAAGGAGAGAGCGCAUGUUCUUUUCUUCAAAGAUUUAUCGCUAUGGGAUGGACCCGCGUCUGAUUAGCUGGUUGGUUGAGGUAACGGCGUCACCAAGGCGACGAUCAGUAGCCGGCUUGAGAGAGUGGACGGCCACAUUGGGACUGAGACACGGCCCAGACUCCUACGGGAGGCAGCAGUGGGGAAUAUUGCACAAUGGGGGAAACCCUGAUGCAGCGACGCCGCGUGAGUGAAGAAGUAUUUCGGUAUGUAAAGCUCUAUCAGCAGGGAAGAUAAUGACGGUACCUGAAUAAGAAGCCCCGGCUAACUACGUGCCAGCAGCCC